rnacentral:rRNA from 1 species
AUGUCAACCCCUGCAAGGAAGAGGCUGAUGAGGGAUUUCAAACGACUGAUGCAGGAUCCUCCUGCGGGCAUAAGUGGUGCACCUCAGGAUAACAAUAUAAUGCUGUGGAAUGCUGUAAUUUUUGGUCCUGAUGAUACUCCCUGGGAUGGUGGUACGUUCAAGCUGACACUUCAGUUUACUGAAGAUUAUCCUAAUAAGCCACCUACAGUGCGGUUUGUUUCUCGAAUGUUUCAUCCCAAUAUUUAUGCAGAUGGAAGCAUAUGUUUAGAUAUUCUCCAAAACCAGUGGAGCCCGAUAUAUGAUGUAGCUGCUAUAUUGACAUCCAUUCAGUCACUGCUUUGCGACCCAAACCCAAAUUCACCUGCCAACUCAGAAGCCGCCCGCCUAUUCAGCGAGAACAAGCGGGAAUACAACCGUAAAGUACGCGAGGUUGUGGAGCAAAGCUGGACUGCAGACUAA